rnacentral:rRNA from 1 species
AUUGAACGCUAGCGGCAGGCUUAAUACAUGCAAGUCGAGGGGUAGCAAGAUUGUAGCAAUACAAUUGUUGACGACCGGCAAACGGGUGCGGAACACGUACACAACCUUCCUACAAGUGGGGAAUAGCCCAGAGAAAUUUGGAUUAAUACCCCGUAACAUAGCGAUGUGGCAUCACGUUGCUAUUAUAGCUUCGGCGCUUGUUGAUGGGUGUGCGGCUGAUUAGAUAGUUGGCGGGGUAACGGCCCACCAAGUCUACGAUCAGUAGCUGAUGCGAGAGCAUGAUCAGCCACACGGGCACUGAGACACGGGCCCGACUCCUACUGGAGGCAGCAGUAAGGAAUAUUGGACAAUGGACGCAAGUCUGAUCCAGCCAUGCCGCGUGAAGGAUUAAGGUCCUCUGGAUUGUAAACUUCUUUUAUAAGGGACGAAAAAAGGUCUUUCUAGAUCGUCUGACGGUACCUUAUGAAUAAGCACCGGCUAACUCCGUGCCAGCCGCCGCCGUAACAC